rnacentral:rRNA from 1 species
AUUGAACGCUGGCGGCAGGCCUAACACAUGCAAGUCGAACGAGUGGCGGACGGGUGAGUAAUGUCUGGGAAACUGCCUGAUGGAGGGGGAUAACUACUGGAAACGGUAGCUAAUACCGCAUACCAUCGGAUGUGCCCAGAUGGGAUUAGCUAGUAGGUGGGGUAAAGGCUCACCUAGGCGACGAUCCCUAGCUGGUCUGAGAGGAUGACCGGCCAAACUGGAACUGAGCGACGGUCCAGACUCCUACGGGAGGCAGCAGUGGGGCAUAGUCGACAAUGGGCGCAAGCCUGAUGCAGCCAUGCCGCGUGUAGGAAGAAGGCCUUCGGGUUGUAAAGUACUUUCAGAGGGGAGGCGUUACCCGCAGAAGAAGCGCCGGCUAACUCCGUGCCAGGAGCCGCGGUAAUUC